GUGCGAAGGUAGCAUAAUCAUUAGUUUUUUAAAUGNAAGCUGGAAUGAAUGGCUGGACGAGAUGAAUUCUGUCUCAUUUUUGUAAUUAGAAUUUAAUUUUUGAGUGAAAAAGCUUAAAUGUUGGUAUAGGACGAGAAGACCCUAUAAAGCUUUAUAUUAAUGAUUUAUGUUAUUUAUAUUUAUUUUUUUUU
rnacentral:rRNA from 1 species